ACUCCUACGAGAGGCAGCAGUGGGGAAUAUUGCACAAUGGGGGAAACCCUGAUGCAGCCAUGCCGCGUGUGUGAAGAAGGCCUUCGGGUUGUAAAGCACUUUCAGUAGGGAGGAAAGGGUGAGUCUUAAUACGGCUCAUCUGUGACGUUACCUACAGAAGAAGGACCGGCUAACUCCGUGCCAGCAGCCGCGGUAAUACGGAGGGUCCGAGCGUUAAUCGGAAUUACUGGGCGUAAAGCGUGCGCAGGCGGUUUGUUAAGCGAGAUGUGAAAGCCCUGGGCUCAACCUAGGAAUAGCAUUUCGAACUGGCGAACUAGAGUCUUGUAGAGGGGGGUAGAAUUCCAGGUGUAGCGGUGAAAUGCGUAGAGAUCUGGAGGAAUACCGGUGGCGAAGGCGGCCCCCUGGACAAAGACUGACGCUCAUGCACGAAAGCGUGGGAAGCAAACAGGAUUAGAUACCCUGGUAGUCCACGCCGUAAACGAUGUCUACUCGGAGUUUGGUGUCUUGAACACUGGGCUCUCAAGCUAACGCAUUAAGUAGACCGCCUGGGGAGUACGGCCGCAAGGUUAAAACUCAAAUGAAUUGACGGGGGCCCGCACAAGCGGUGGAGCAUGUGGUUUAAUUCGAUGCAACGCGAAGAACCUUACCUACUCUUGACAUCCACGGAAGAGACCAGAGAUGGACUUGUGCCUUCGGGAACCGUGAGACAGGUGCUGCAUGGCUGUCGUCAGCUCGUG
rnacentral:rRNA from 1 species